ensembl:lncRNA
UCCCAGCGGCUCCUCCGGGGGGCUGCACAUGCUCGGUGCGGCUCCCGGCGACUCCCGGCAGCUCCCGGCGCGGCGCCCGGUGCGGCGCAGGGGAGCUCGGUUGCGGCUCCCGGUGAUUCCCGGUGCGGCUCCCGGCGGAGCUCCCGGUGCGGCUCCCGGCGAUUCCCGGUGCAGCUCCCGGUGCGGCUCCCGGUGCAGCUCCCGGCGAUUCCCGGUGCAGCUCCCGGUGCGGCUCCCGGUGAAGCUCCCGGUGCAGCUCCCGGUGCGCCCUCGGGAGCGCACGACCGAGCCCCGGGGCUGAGCCCUGCCCAUCCCAGCCUCACCACCGGCCCCGGGGCCGAGCUUUUCCCCGGCACCCACCCUCACCCCCCUCGGGCAGCAUGCCCCGCGGGCGAGCGUGGACGCAGGCGGAGGUCAGCAGCCUCCUGGCGCUGGUGGAGGGCUCGGGGGAGGCCGCCCUGCUCAUGGCCUCCACGUCGAGGCCCAACGAGGCACUGUGGCGGGAGAUCUCCCAAGGGCUGGCGGCGGCCGGCUACGGGCGCAGCGUGGCCCAGUGCCGCUCCAAGUGGAAGGCCCUCAAGCAGGCUUUCCACUCGGAGCGGGAGACGCGCCGGAGGGCCGGCUGCCACUCGCCCCGGCUGCCCCCGCACUACCGAGCUAUGAAGAGCAUCUGGAAGGCGGCCGGGCGGCCCGUCUUUGGCGAGCGGAGGAUGCCAGACCUGGUGAGGCAGCCCUCCAGGAAGCGCAGGUCAGCCCUUGCCGCCCGCUCUCCGUCCUCACCAGGGCCGCCAGGUACCUGUGGGCGCAGGCAGCCGGCGUGGGGCUUGUUACCGGCUGUGGGGUGGGCAGGCACCCCUCGUCUCGUGGUUAUUGAAGCUCUUUCCUGCUGCCCCCUCACCUGCCGUCUGCAGGGCACGAUGCUGGCAAGGACGCCCCAGGUGUGCUGCUGUCCCCCCUGCUGCAGCGUGCGAAGGAUGAGCCAGACAGCCGUAAGUAUCGGUCUGCCCCGCUGCACCGGGCUGCACGGCCACGGCUCCAGCCCCAGUCCAUGCCAGCAUGAUGGGAAUGGGAGGGCUUAGAGAGUUGGGAAGUCCCUCACAACAGGGGUGCUCGCCAAUGGCGUGUUGGGUUUUCUCUCUGUAGAGGCUUUGGAUCCAAACCAGUCCCAGAGCGUGAGGGAAUGGAGAUGGGGAAGGAAAGGGUCCCCAGCUCUGACCCAGCCUGAGGGCAUGGCAAGGCUGCUGGCUACCCCAAGGCAAGUCAUGGGGCUUAAGGUCUCUUAAGAGACGGUGGCCCUGAUCUGGCCCAGGGGGCUCUUGCGGCUGUGUGGCACUGCAGGGCAUGUGACUCCCCUUCCUCUGGCAGAUCCUGGCUUCCCCUUCCCCAGUAACACCAUAAAGCUUCAGAUGAGUUAGGACUGGGUGUGAGGGCCAGAGGUGUCUGCAGCUCCCCUGCCCUGCAGCCCACCCAGGGGCAGAUCCUGCAAGCCCCUCUCGCUGUGCACUCUCCCAGGGGUUUGGCACUGAGGUGACGCAGGAUACGUCCCUGGGUCUGAUUUGCAUGGGUGCCCCCGGCCAGCAUCCCAUACUGGGUAAUUACCUUCUGUCUCCCUAAAUUCCCCCUGCAGUUUCAAGUGGAUGUGGGAUUCUCCUUCACUUCCAGUCCUAAUCUGUUGUGUAGCGUUGCUGCACGCUGCUACGCCGCUGCUGCCUUCCAGCCCAGAGGUGGCUGCAUUGCAGUGGUGGGUGAGUGACUCCUGCUUUUGUAUCUAGCUUGUGAAACGCUUUGGGGCCCUGCAGGGUGCUGUGGAGCUGUGGCUGGGGCAUGUCGGGCUGCGGGGCUGGCCGGGGCAAGUCGGGCAGACCCCGGGCUGGUGGUGAUCCCCAUCAGAUGAUGCAUCUCUCCUCUCUGCUCUCUCCCAGCAGCUGGUGGUGGGGAACACAUCGCUGGAGUGCUGCCCACUCCCCCUGCUGUGCCACGUAAGGCUUUCCUUGCCCCACUUGGCCCGGUAAACCCCCUCGGCCCCAUGAGCAGGGUCUCAUACAGUUCUCAUUGCAGACACCGGUGGCUGCUUCCCUCCCCUUCCCCUCCUGGGCGAGUACCAUGCCCAGGCCACUGUGCUUGUGUGCCCUGGGGCAGGAGGCAGCCGCAGUUCAUGGGCUGGGUCUGCUUCCCUUGCAGGCUGUCACACCACCCUGAAGCAGGAGGGAGCUGAGCAAAAGGCUGGUAAGGGUCUGCAGCUCCGAGCAACGCCCCUGCUCCAGGGGAGGCAGCUCUGUCCUGUCCUGCCCGUGGGGGACAGAGGACGGGGGCUUCCGCAGCCAGUGCCAGCCUGGAGCUCUGUGUCAGGGUCAGGCUGAGUACGGGGCUUGGGUGGCUCCAGCACUCUGGGUGCUCCCUCCAUGCCAAACCAUCGCGGCAGGUUUUCCUGGUGAGACGUCCCUGGGGAUAGGAAGAAGAAACCGAGUGCUGCCAGUGGCCACCACAGCCCUGGGCUCCCCUGGGAUGGCUGCCAUGAGUGAGCAGCCGGCAACGAGUGAAGAGGCGUUGGACGCAAGCCUGCAUGGUGGGUCCUCCCUGCAGCAUCCCGGGAGCCUCGUGGUGGGUUCUCGGAGGAGUGCUGGGGGUUUGCUACCACUGACCCCUCCCCUGCCUCUCACUGCAGGCUCAGGUGUGGCAGGCUUGCUCCAGAACGUCCAGCAGCUGCUGGUGCAGAUCCUACAGACAUCGCGGCAGCAGCAGGCGCUGCUGGAGAGCCUGGCCAGUGACACCGUCUCCCACCUCCACUUCCUCUCCCACAGCCUGGUGCAGGUGGGUGAGACCCUGCACCAGCUCCUGCUCCGGCCGCAGACCUACUUCGGCCCCCUUGGCCACUACGGUCCCCACGUGCCCCUUUUUGAGGGUGGCCCUGGGGUGCCCUAUUCCGCCGGCUCUCCCCACGCCGCCCCAGAUGACAAAGAGGAGCCUCAGGUGUCCCUUGCCUCUGGCUGCACCCCAUGAGUGCCACCAUCCUCAGCCCCAGGGGCAACAGCUUCGCUAUGCAGCCACGGCACAAAUCUUUAUAGCAGAGGCCCUGGAUAUUUUGGAAGUUUAUAGAAGAGAGACAUUUUAAUAAAACUAAAAAUAGCUUUUUCUACCA